rnacentral:rRNA from 1 species
CCUACGGGGGGCAGCAGUGGGGAAUAUUGCACAAUGGGCGCAAGCCUGAUGCAGCCAUGCCGCGUGUGUGAAGAAGGCCUUCGGGUUGUAAAGCACUUUCAGCGGGGAGGAAGGCGUUAAGGUUAAUAACCUUGGCGAUUGACGUUACCCGCAGAAGAAGCACCGGCUAACUCCGUGCCAGCAGCCGCGGUAAUACGGAGGGUGCAAGCGUUAAUCGGAAUUACUGGGCGUAAAGCGCACGCAGGCGGUCUGUCAAGUCGGAUGUGAAAUCCCCGGGCUCAACCUGGGAACUGCAUUCGAAACUGGCAGGCUAGAGUCUUGUAGGGGGGGGUAGAAUUCCAGGUGUAGCGGUGAAAUGCGUAGAGAUCUGGAGGAAUACCGGUGGCGAAGGCGGCCCCCUGGACAAAGACUGACGCUCAGGUGCGAAAGCGUGGGGAGCAAACAGGAUUAGAUACCCGUGUAGUC